rnacentral:rRNA from 1 species
UGAGUAACCUGCCCCCGACUCUGGGAUAACCCCGGGAAACCGGAGCUAAUACCGGAUACGAACCACUCAGGCAUCUGAGAGGCUGGAAAGAUUUAUCGGUCAGGGAUGGACUCGCGGCCUAUCAGCUUGUUGGUGGGGUAAUGGCCCACCAAGGCGACGACGGGUAGCCGGCCUGAGAGGGCGACCGGCCACACUGGGACUGAGACACGGCCCAGACUCCUACGGGAGGCAG